rnacentral:rRNA from 1 species
GACGAACGCUGGCGGCGCGCUUAACACAUGCAAGUCGAGCGAUGAAAUCUUAAUAGAACCCUUCGGGGUGAAGAUAAGACGGAUUAGCGGCGGACUGGUGAGUAACACGUGAGUAACCUGCUUUUUACACAGGGAUAGCCUCAGGAAACCGGGCUUAAAACCUGAUGAAACUAUCAAAUCACAUGAUUAAGAAAGUUAAAACUCCGGUGGUAAAAGAUGGAGUGGCGUCUCAUUGGCUAGUUGGUGAAGGUAACGGCCCACCAAGGCAACGAUGGGUAGCCGGCGGGGGAGGGUGAACGGCCACAUUGGAACUGAGAAACGGUCCAAACUCCGACGGGAAGCAGCAGUGGGUAAUAUAGCACAAUGGGGGAAACCCUGAUGCAGCGACGCCGCGUGAGCGAAGAAGGCCUUCGGGUCGUAAAGCGCUUUUAUAUAGGAAGAGAAUGACGGUACCAUAAGAAAAAGCCCCGGCUAACUACGUG